ensembl:lncRNA
GGAGGAGGAGGAGGAGGAGGAGGAGGCCGGGGUAAUGGAGUGAUGAACGCGAUGACGAGGAGAGGAUGAAGAGGUAACGAGCAGCUUUCAGCCGCUAACUAAUGAGACGCAACCGUCCCCGUCGGUCGCGUCCGGAUCGAUAUCCAUGAAAGACGAGGGACGAAAGACAGCGGCUCCUCCUCCUUGCUCCUGAUGUGACACAUCUGUAAUUCAUCAUUUUCGUUUCGCCGUCCUCAGCGGAGAGUUUGGUCCGGUGACGCAAACUCUUUGUCCCACAGUAAACACACGUGAACCGAGCAAAGUCCGCACACUUCAUCCACCUUCAUUACAACUCUGGAUCUGGUCGUUAAGCAGCAGGUGCACGCUGGGCCUUUACGUGCUGCAGAGGUGUCGGAGCAGUAAGAGCGUUGCAUAAUAACACCGCCAACACUCCCAAUGGUUCCCCUCCUCUCGCGGCUCAGUGCACACGCUGCUGUGUGGCGUUUGGCACAGUGCGCGUCUCCAAUGCGCCGCCGUCUGUGCCCCUCGUUUAUUUAAUUAUUUAGAAAAACAAAAGGUCAGCCGUGGAGGCCCAGCAGGUACACUGUCACGCUGGAUGAACAGGCUUCCACACACACACACACACACACACACACACCUAUUGAGUUAUCGAGUCACUGGGCUGCGCCUCUUCAACGCCGAGUCAGCAAACGCUGUUUUUUUUUGUCUUUUUCAAGGGUCUCGAGUAGGAAAUUGAUGUUUCCUGUUUGCACACGUCAGCGAUGAAAGCUGGUUAAUAAGGGCGCCGCUAUCCAGACCAGGCCAUUCAAUGACACAAUAUGGGGAUGAAUAAAAACACAUUUCAAUGGAGUCUUCGUCAAGGCAAGUGAGUCUGCACCUCAGCCUGAUUGUUUAGGAGCUUUCGUUUAGGUGUUUCUUCUUGCAUCCCUGCAUAUUCCUCACCACCUACGCGCUCUCCUUCGUCUCCUCGUCAUCGCGCUGGUCGCUCUUUCGGGGGAAGCUGAUGGCCAGAGAAACCAUUACAAGCUGCAAAAGAGCCCCACUUUCCCUCACAACCCUCACUUUCACCUCGUUGUUAUGCUUUCAUGGCUCGGAGGAGGAGGAGGAGGAGGAGCAGGAGGAGGGAUGUUUGGAGAGAUGAUUGGAAGAGAAGAAGAGGAAAGUUUGGGGUCUGGCAGCUAGAAGUUCACCUCCGUUUCUCUCUCCCAGGGCUAAUGGGUUAGUUCAACGUGCUGAUUUCUGCAGAAAGCCGCUGUGUUGAGUGGAAAGCGUAGAGACAUCCCCCACAAUCCCUUUCUUACAUGAGUACAUCACUUGGUGGUCUCGAUAUAGCACCGGCGAGGAGAAAGAAACGCUAUUCCUCUUUGUUCCAUUAUGGCAGAAACACACGCGAGGGCCAUGAAUAAUGAAGACCGGUUACAGGCACCUUUAUCAUUAUUUCAGAGAGAGAGAGAAGGGACAAGCGACAGGACGGACAUGAGAGGGUCGGAGGGGCCAAUAAACCGCUGACUCUUCAGGUUUGGACCGAAAGAAGCUCUUUGAGAUCCGCUCGCAGCCUCGGAACAAAAGUUGGUUUCUGCAACCCCGUCUAGGCCAUUUCCUUUAAUAUACACAACUAAAUGCGCUAAAGUGCAGCCUUGUUUGAGUUUAUUUGUGUGUUUUUAGGACUUUUUGUAAAGAGGACAAACUAUAUCAAGCAGAUUUGCAACAGGAGUGAAUCAUUCAGGUGGAUUGAUGUUCCUGACCUCAUGUGCCGUUUUCUUUUCGAGGUUUAUAUUUGAUAAAUCACAACUUUGUUUUAUGAACGUUUCAUAGAAAACACUCACACGUGUAAGCAGCCUUCAUUAAAUGAAUUCAAUAAGGCAGAGUUGACUUUCGAUUUUAUCCUUUUCAAUAAUCUGUUAAACCAAACAGAAGGUACGCUGGGCUUUAAUGUUGGAUUCAAUGGCGUAAGUAAGCUCCAAUUAAAGGAAAGACAAAUACUCUCGUUUGGCUCUUAGAUGUUUAACAGACGUACAUGUUUAGGUUAGCUCGGUUUAAUUAAAGUUAGUCAGAUUUCAAUAUUUAAUUGUUUAACACGAGCAGGAAGAAGCUCAGACAAAGGAGCCGCAGUCAUUUCCAUUAAAUAUAAAUGGACUGUGAUAUCCAAGCAGAAUUAUUUUGAAAAGGUUGCAGAUGAGGAGGCGGGCGUGUGCAGGUGGGCGGAUGAGGAGGUGGGCGUGUACAGGUGGAGGGAUGAGGAGGUGGGUGUGUGCAGGUGGGCGGAUGAGGAGGUGGGCGUGUGGAGGUGGGCGUGUACAGGUGGGGGGAUGAGGAGGUGGGCGUGUACAGGUGGGCGGAUGAGGAGGUGGGCGUGUGCAGGUGGGCGGAUGAGGAGGUGGGCGUGUGCAGGUGGGCGGAUGAGGAGGUGGGCGUGUGCAGGUGGGCGGAUGAAGAGGUGGGCCGUGUGCAG